ACAUCCAGAGAAUUUAGCAGAGNUGCUUUAGGUGCCUUCGGGAACUCUGAGACAGGUGCUGCAUGGCUGUCGUCAGCUCGUGUUGUGAAAUGUUGGGUUAAGUCCCGNAACGAGCGCAACCCUUAUCCUUUGUUGCCAGCACGUAAUGGUGGGAACUCAAAGGAGACUGCCGGUGAUAAACCGGAGGAAGGUGGGGAUGACGUCAAGUCAUCAUGGCCCUUACGAGUAGGGCUACACACGUGCUACAAUGGCGCAUACAAAGAGAAGCGACCUCGCGAGAGCAAGCGGACCUCAUAAAGUGCGUCGUAGUCCGGAUUGGAGUCUGCAACUCGACUCCAUGAAGUCGGAAUCGCUAGUAAUCGUAAAUCAGAAUGUUACGGUGAAUACGUUCCCGGGCCUUGUACACACCGCCCGUCACACCAUGGGAGUGGGUUGCAAAAGAAGUAGAUAGCUUAACCUUCGGGAGGGCGUUUACCACUUUGUGAUUCAUGACUGGGGUGAAGUCGUAACAAGGUAAGCGUAGUGCU
rnacentral:rRNA from 1 species